ACUGAACUUUUAUUAAUGUCAGAACCACAGUCCGCGCUGCUAUUACGAAAACAAUUAGCAGAAUUAAAUAAAAACCCGGUAGAAGGGUUUUCUGCAGGCCUCAUAGACGACAAUGACAUAUAUCGGUGGGAAGUACUCAUUAUUGGACCUCCGGAUACAUUAUACGAAGGUGGUUUUUUCAAAGCACACUUACAGUUUCCAAAAGAAUAUCCACUUAGGCCACCAAGAAUGAAAUUCAUAACCGAGAUAUGGCAUCCAAAUAUCGACAAAAAUGGAGAUGUAUGUAUAUCGAUACUACACGAACCUGGUGACGACAAGUGGGGAUACGAGAAAGCGUCCGAACGGUGGUUACCAGUUCAUACAGUCGAGACUAUCUUGAUAAGUGUUAUUAGCAUGCUCGCAGAUCCUAACGAUGAAAGCCCUGCUAAUGUGGAUGCCGCCAAAGAGUGGAGGGAAAGUUAUACGGAAUUUAAGCGAAAGGUGGCGAGGUGCGUGAGAAAAAGCCAAGAGGAGUGUUUGUAGGGGCUGAACAAAUAUUCAACUGGAAAGACUUAUUUAAUUCUGGGAAGCCGUAAGCACUGUAAGAAAGAAACCGAUGCUCAGCAUAAAGCUAACGGACAACAGUGCCACUAAGAGCGGAAUAAGCCUGACCCAUCCUUGUGCAGAAAGAGGAAGACAAAGUGUGUGUGAAUGGGAGAGAGAAACACGUUGCUCUAUCAUGUUUAUUAAACUACUAUCACCGACGUACGAUCCAUCGAAACAAGGAGCAUAAAAGAGAUACACACGCAAUUCACCUUUUACAUAAUAAACAGCUAAAAGAAAAAUUAAUUUACACGUAUACAUAAUGCAAAAGAUCAUCUCUGUACGAUUACCUUAAUAUUACUAGUUAUUAUAAACUUAACUCUCCCCCCGCCCCUCCUUAAUGCUCAAGAGCGACCUCGAGUCCAUACCCCCUCUUUCGAUCGGACCUUGUGAUUUCAAAUGAUGUGUUUUUACGUUUGUCUGUCAAUAAUAAUUCCUUACUGUCGUUUCGUAUUUUCUUACUUUCGUAAAUAUAUAUAUAUGUAUAGAUACAUUUUUAUAAAGUCAAAUGGAGACGGGACACGUGCAGCAAUCGCAUGGGAUGUCGGCCACCGAUAAUGGACUGCAUAUGAAUUAUUACAAUGCCGCGAGGAGCGAUUUAAUGUCGAUUUAAAGUCGCGUGGACAUAACGUGCGGCUAUGUGUAAAAAUAUAUAUUAAAUUUCCAUCGAACCCUAGUUCUCUAAUAUAACAUGUAUUACACAGUAUAAGGCACUCACUCUCUUGAACCGUGUCGAUCGUGUGAUGCGGAGUGGCGCUUUUCUUACAAACGAAAAACUUGCGGUUCUUGAUCACGCAAUUCUGUUAAAACUUAAAAAGAGAUCCAUCAUUUCUCGUUAGGAUUAAUUUACGUAUCGAAUUCCUUUUGCAUUUGUAUUAAAGUCUAGGUUGAAAUUAAAAUUAUCAUCUUUUCUUCUGAUUAUAUACAUCAUUUCACAUUGUGUCAAUUAAAUCUUCAGACAUUGAAA
rnacentral:misc_RNA from 1 species